rnacentral:rRNA from 1 species
GGGUGAGUAACGCGUGGGUAACCUGCCCUAUACACAGGGAUAACAUUGAGAAAUUGAUGCUAAUACCUGAUAAGCCAACAGUAGGCAUCUACAAGUUGGAAAAACUGAGGUGGUAUAGGAGGGGCCCGCGUCUGAUUAGCUAGUUGGUGGGGUAAAGGCCUACCAAGGCGACGAUCAGUAGCCGACCUGAGAGGGUGAUCGGCCACAUUGGAACUGAGACACGGUCCAAACUCCUACGGGAGGCAGCAGUGGGGAAUAUUGCACAAUGGGGGGAACCCUGAUGCAGCAACGCCGCGUGAAGGAAGAAGUAUUUCGGUAUGUAAACUUCUAUCGACAGGGAAGAAAUAAAUGACGGUACCUGAAUAAGAAGCACCGGCUAAAUACGUGCCAGCAGCCGCGGUAAUACGUAUGGUGCAAGCGUUAUCCGGAUUUACUGGGUGUAAAGGGUGAGUAGGCGGUUAUGCAAGUCAUAUGUGAAAUUCUGGGGCUCAACCUCAGGGCUGCAUAAGAAACUGUGUAACUAGAGUACAGGAGAGGUAAGCGGAAUUCCUAGUGUAGCGGUGAAAUGCGUAGAUAUUAGGAAGAACACCGGUGGCGAAGGCGGCUUACUGGACUGAAACUGACGCUGAGUCACGAAAGCGUGGGGAGCGAACAGGAUUAGAUACCCUGGUAGUCCACGCCGUAAACGAUGAGUGCUAGGUGUUGGGAAGAGAUUCUCGGUGCCGCAGCAAACGCAAUAAGCACUCCACCUGGGGAGUACGACCGCAAGGUUGAAACUCAAAGGAAUUGACGGGGACCGCACAAGCGGUGGAGCAUGUGGUUUAAUUCG